UACGGGGGGUGCAAGCGUUAUCCGGAUUCACUGGGUUUAAAGGGUGUGUAGGCGGGUAUUUAAGUCAGUGGUGAAAUCUCUGAGCUCAACUCAGAAACUGCCAUUGAUACUAUUUAUCUUGAAUAUCGUUGAGGUUGGCGGAAUAUAUCAUGUAGCGGUGAAAUGCAUAGAUAUGAUAUAGAACACCGAUUGCGAAGGCAGCUAACUAAGCGAUGAUUGACGCUGAGGCACGAAAGCGUGGGGAUCAAACAGG
rnacentral:rRNA from 1 species